rnacentral:misc_RNA from 1 species
GAUGAAGAACGUAGCAAACGUGCGAAACGUAAUGUGAAUUGCAGAAUUCAGUGAAUCAUCGAAUCUUUGAACGCAUCUUGCGCUCCUUGGUAUUCCGAGGAGCAUGCCUGUUUGAGUGUCGUGAAUACUCUCAACUUCAACCCUUUUUUCGGAAAGGGAGGAAGGUUGGACUUGGGUGUUUGUUGAAGUGCGAGCUUCGACUCAUCCUAAAUGCAUUAGCGAUCUGCCUCGAUCACACACAAUGUGAUAAUUAAAACUAAAGCAUUGUUUAAUGAUCAAGUCGAGACUGCUUCUAACUGUCGCAAGACAAUAACGUGCAUACAUUUGUGCAUGUCAUUUGACCUCAAAUCAGGUAGGACUACCCGCUGAACUUAAGCAUAUCAAUAAGCGGAGGA